UACGGAGGGGGCUAGCGUUGUUCGGAAUUACUGGGCGUAAAGCGCGCGUAGGCGGACCUGCAAGUCGGGGGUGAAAGCCCGAGGCUCAACCUCGGAACUGCCUUCGAUACUGCGGGUCUCGAGUCCGGGAGAGGUGAGUGGAAUUCCUAGUGUAGAGGUGAAAUUCGUAGAUAUUAGGAAGAACACCAGUGGCGAAGGCGGCUCACUGGACCGGUACUGACGCUGAGGCGCGAAAGCGUGGGGAGCAAACAGG
rnacentral:rRNA from 1 species